UUCAGUUUGUCGCGGGAUAGCUUGAAAUAAACAACAUGCAAAAUUGUACUAUUUUAUUUCAAUGUGGUCGUUUAUCUAAGUUAUUCAGUAUUUCAUUUUGUUUCUAGUUUGGACACUGUUAAGAUACUUAAUUUACGUCAUUAAGUAACUAGCUACUAGUAGCGUUUGGUUUCUCAAGCUGGCUGAAUACGAUAUUAUGGCUCGACCAACAAGAGCCAAGAACCAUUUGAAUUACUCAGACUUGAUGGAGCUUGAUGAUGAUGAAGAUUUCGCCUGUAUGAAAGGGCCUUCCAGCAAGAAAGCUCGGGUCCUUGUCAAAGAACUACAGAGAGACAAGGGUCUGCAUCAAUCAAGCAAAUCUUUCAGUCAGGUUUCAAAGAACACAACUUCAUGAGGUCACAAGUGAGAGGGGAUCCAAUGUCAACCCCUCCAGCCAGAGAUGGGCAGCUGUCAAAGCUAAAGAUCAACAGAGAUCCAUACUGAAAGUGGAGAGGAUCAGCCAGGUUGAGAGUGGGCGGGAGGAUAAGGAUUACCAGCCUACCUGCAUACCACGUAACCACCAUCUGUCAUCACGUUAAUGCCCUCAAUAAGAAAUGUUCACCCAAUUAUAAUGGAUGUAAAGUAUAUUGUGCAGCUAUUACAUUUCUCCGUGCUUUCCUCUGUUACUCCCACCACAGAGAGUUGUAGUCCGACUCCAGCAACAUCAAAGCCUGUGUCAACUCAGAGGAAGCUUGCUGACACUCCCACUUUACCUGUUAGAUCAUCCCCUAUCAGCCCAGUAGGUGUCAGGCUUCUAAAGUGGAAUCCACCAGGUGAGGCUCAGUGACACAAUUGGAGAUUCUCUACUGGACAAAAGUCUGCCCUUUACUUGACUCCUUCAUUCCCCGCGACCCGGAAACCGAUAAGUGGUCGAGGGGAGAGUCAAUUCGUUAGUAGGCAAACUGAGGAGUAUGCUUCCCUCCUCGAUUACAGACUUCAGCAAAGGAUGCACAAGAGUAUCUUCCUGGUGGCUAGCGUGGGAGUGUUUUAAAAUCCGCCACACAGGCCUUUCUAAUCGACCUGGCCCGGUUAUCCUGGAAGGAUAUUGAUCUCAUCCUGUCAGUAGAGGAUGCCAGGUUGUUCUUUUAGAAGUGCUUUCCUCACCAUCUUAAAUAAGCAUGCCCCAUUCAAAAAAUGUAGAACUAUGAACAGAUAUAGCCCUUGGUUCACUGCAGACUUGACUGCCCUUGAUUAGCAUCUAAUAGCCCCACGAUAUGAAACUUUUCAGGGAAGUCAAUUAGGAAAGCUAAGGCUAGCUAGCAGAAAUUUGCUUCCUGUAGCACUAAUUCCAAAAGUUUUCAAACACCGUAAAGUCCAUGGAGAAUAAGAGCACCUCCUCCCAGCUGCCCACUGCACUGAGGCUAGGAAAUACUGUCACCACCAAUAAAUCUACUAUAAUUGAGAAUUUCAGUAAGCAUUUUUCUACGGCUGGCCAUGCUUUCCACCUGGCUACCCCUAACCCGGCCAACAGCUCUGCACCCCCCGCUUCUCCUUCACCCAAAUCCAGAUAGCUGAUGUUCUGAAAGAGCUGCAAAACCUGGAUCCCUACAAAUCAGCAGGGCUAGACAAUCUGGACCCUCUCUUUCUAAAAUUAUCUGCCAAAAUUGUAGCAACCCCUAUUACUAUCCUGUUUAACCUCUCUUUCGGAUCAUCUGAGAUCCCCAAAGAUUGGAAAGUUGCAGCGGUCAUCCCCCUCUUCAAAAGGGGAGACACUAGACCCAAACUGUUACAGACCAAUAUCCAUCCUUGACUCUCAAUCACCGCAUUCUUAUGCAGACUCAAUAGCCUUGGUUACUCAAAUGACUGCCUUGUCUGGUUCACCAACUACUUCUCAGAUAGAGUUCAGUGUGUCAAAUCAGAGGGCCUGUUGUCCGGACCUCUGGCAGUCUCUUUGGGGAUGCCACAGGGUUAAAUUCUCAGACCUACAAUUUUCUCUGUAUAUAUCAAUGAUAUCGCUCUUGCUGCUGGUGAUUCUUUGAUCCACCUCUACGCAGACAACCACAUUCUUUAUACAUCUGGCCCUUCCUUGGACACUGUUAGCAAACCUCCAAAUGAGCUUCAAUGCCAUACAACACCUAAACUCUCCUUCCAGACUCACAUUAAGCAUCUCCAAUCCAAAAUGAAUUCUAGAGUCAUCUUCCUAUUUCGCAAACAAAGCCUCCUUCACUCAUGCUGCCAAACAUACCCUCGUAAAACUGACUAUAUCCUACCAAUCCUUCACUUCGGCGAUGUCAUUUACAAAAUAGCCUCCGACACUCUACUCAGCAAAUUGGAUGUAGUCUAUCACAGUGCCAUCCGUUUUGUCACCAAAGCCACAUAUACUAUCCACCACCGUGACCUGUAUGCUCUUGUUGGCUGUCCCUUGCUACAUUUUUGUCGCCAAACCCACUGCCUCCAGGUCAUCUAUAAGUCUUUGCUAGGUAAAGCUCCACCUUAUCUCAGCUCACUGGUCACCUUAGCAGGUAUAUUUUUAUUUAUUUUACCUUUAUUUUACUAGGCAAGUCAGUUAAGAACAAAUUCUUAUUUUCAAUGACGGCCUAGGAACAGUGGGUUAACUGCCUGUUCAGGGGCAGAACGACAGAUUUGUACUUUGUCAGCUCGGGGAUUCGAACUUGCAACCUUUCAAUUACUAGUCCAAUGCUCUAACCACUAGGCUACCCUGCCGCCCCAAAGCCAACACCUCAUUUGGUCGCCUUUCCUUACAGUUCUCUGCUGCCAGUGACUGGAAAGAAUUGCAAAAAUCACUGAAGCUGGAGGCAUAUCUCCCUCACUAACUUUAAGCAUCAGCUGUCAGAGCAGCUUACCGGUCAGUGUACCUGUACACAGCCCAUCUGUAAAUAGCACACCCAACUACAUCAUCCCCAUAUUGUUAUUUAUUUAUUUUUGCUCUUUUGCACCCCAGUAUCUCUACUUGCACAUCAUCAUCUGCACAUCCAUCACUCCAGUGUUAAUGCUAAAUUGUCAUUAUUUCGCCACUAUGGCCUAUUUAUUGCCUUACCCCCCCCCCUAACCUUACAACAUUUGCACACACUGUACAUAGAUUUUUCUACUGUGUUAUUGACUGUAUGUUUGUUUAUGUGUAACUGUGUUGUUUUUGUCGCACUGCUUUGCUUUAUCUUGGCUGGGUUGCAGUUGUAAAUGAGAACUUGUUCUCAACUGGCCUACCUGGUUAAAUAAAGGUAAAAUGUAUUGCACAACUAGCUACAAUUUGAUUUGAUCACUUUACACAUGUAUUUGGGGAUUCCAGCUCUGUAAAUGUAAUUUGCCUGAUGUCGCAUGAGUAGAGAAGGAGUCUCAUUUCAUACAAGCGCAUUUGUGUCCAUGUUUCGUCGCCUCUGCUCCUUGAUCCUUGAACUUUUUCAAAAGUAGGCGAGGAGAACCAAUUGAGAUUCUCCAAAUAUGUAUAUUUUUAUGACCUUAAUUCAAUUCUCUGUUCUUUAUCACUAGCACAGAGUGAAAUAAGCCCCAACUCAACCCCGAAUUCCACCACAAAGUCUCCGGGACAAGGCUUGCGACUGGGAUUGUCCCGCUUAGCAAGGGUCAAACCUCUGCACCCCACUGCUAGUGGUAACUGACUCUUGCCCUAUUAAACAGAGUGAAGUCAGAAUCUCUUUUUCUUUGGUGUACUGUGUGUUUAGCCUGUUACUCUUGUUUUGCAUUGCUAAUAUUGGAGUUCUGUAAUCAUUUUUGUUUAAAUGUUGUAUCUAUUGAUUGCUUUUCAUCAAAAUGUUAAAUGUUUAAAAAAAUAGUUUCUUACCAUGCCUGCAAUUGUCCAGUAUUGUUUUGUAAUAUUUAACAAGUGUUUGAUACUUUGCAUACAGGUGUAAUUUUUUUGGUGGUACGGUAUUUACUCUGGUUCUAACUCGGAUUUCACUAAUGUCCAUCAUGGUUAUUUCCAUUCUCAGACUAUAGAAGUUUGCUUGAGCCAGCUAUCCCCCUGCUGGAACAUUAAUUUAAUGUUUCCCAUUGAAGGAAACACUGAGGAAUAAAGAAAGGAAUAUUUCAAAAUCUUCUGGAACUGUGAACAGUAGCUAGGUUUCCAUCCAAUUGGCAAGAUAUUGUCAUGUGAAUAUUCUAGAAUCCGCAUAAAGAAAAUGUACCCACCAGUGAGUGGUACAGUAUGUUUCUACCAAAUGGACUUGAUGUGGAUCAAAAAAAACAUGUGAUGACAGAUUUUGUUCCCUCAGUCUACAGCCAAUAUCCCAUAAUGACAACGCAAAAAUGGGUUUUAUAUUUUUUUGCAAAUGUAUUGAAUAAAAAACGGAAAUAUCA